CUACGGGCGGCUGCAGUGAGGAAUUUUGCGCAAUGGGGGAAACCCUGACGCAGCAACGCCGCGUGAGUGAUGAAGGCCUUCGGGUCGUAAAGCUCUGUCAAGUGGGAAGAACCUGAUCCAUACUAAUAUCGUGGAUCACUGACGGUACCACUGAAGGAAGCACCGGCUAACUCCGUGCCAGCAGCCGCGGUAAUAGGGAGGGUGAAGCGUUAUUCGGAAUCACUGGGCGUAAAGGGCGCGCAGGCGGUUUGGUAAGUCAGAUGUGAAAGCCCGGGGCUCAACCCCGGAAGUGCAUUUGAUACUGCCAAACUUGAGUAUGGGAGAGGGAAGUGGAAUUCCUGGUGUAGAGGUGAAAUUCGUAGAUAUCAGGAGGAACACCGGUGGCGAAGGCGACUUCCUGGACCAAUACUGACGCUGAGGCGCGAAGGCGUGGGGAGCAAACAGGAUUAGAUACCCGCGUAGUC
rnacentral:rRNA from 1 species